GACGAACGCUGGCGGCGUGCUUAACACAUGCAAGUCGAACGGAAAGGCCCUGCUUUUGUGGGGUGCUCGAGUGGCGAACGGGUGAGUAACACGUGAGUAACCUGCCCUUGACUUUGGGAUAACUUCAGGAAACUGGGGCUAAUACCGGAUAGGAGCUCCUGCUGCAUGGUGGGGGUUGGAAAGUUUCGGCGGUUGGGGAUGGACUCGCGGCUUAUCAGCUUGUUGGUGGGGUAGUGGCUUACCAAGGCUUGGACGGGUAGCCGGCCUGAGAGGGUGACCGGGCAACAGGGGGAGUGAGAUACGGCAAGGCCUCGGCGGGGAGAAAGGAGGGGGAAGUGGGGAGAAGUGGCGGAGCGAUGAAUGACGCACCGCCGGGUGGGGAAGAGGGCUGUGCGGUUGGAAAACGGCUUUCGCCGGGAAGAAGGGGGGGGGGAGGUAAAUGGUAAAAGAACCCCGGGCUACCUACUU
rnacentral:rRNA from 1 species